rnacentral:rRNA from 1 species
CUGCAGCUCGAGUGGUGAUCACUAUUAUUGGGCCUAAAACGUCCGUAGCCGGUCUUAUAAAUGCCUGGGUAAAUCGUGCCGCUCAACGGUACGAAUUCCGGGUAGACUGCAAGGCUUGAGACCGGGAGAGGCUAGAGGUACUCCUGGGGUAGAGGUGAAAUUCUGUAAUCCUAGGGGGACCACCAGUGGCGAAGGCGUCUAGCUAGAACGGGUCUGACGGUGAGGGACGAAGCCCUGGGGCGCGAACCGGAUUAGAUACCCGAGUAGUCC